rnacentral:rRNA from 1 species
AUGUUUCUUCUAGUAGUUGGCCAUAACCAAAGGUAUAGGACACUUCAACCGAUCUUGAGAAGAUCUACCGAAGUCAUUAGUAGGUAUUUUAAGGCAGUGUUUUAUGCUAUUGGAGUGUUGAGAGAUGAGAUGAUUCGGCCUCCCUCCAACCAUUGUCAUCAUAAAAUACAAGAAAGCACUCGCUUCAAUCCAUAUUUCAAGGAUUGUGUUGGAGCAAUUGAUGGGACUCAUGUGCUUGCUAGAGUCCCAAAAAGUAUCUCAGCUACCUUUAGGGGUAGAAAGGUGGGGACUACCCAAAAUGUCAUGGCUACAGUAGACUUUGAUCUAAAGUUUACCUAUGUACUUGCUGAGGUGGCGGGAAGAGGUGCCAAGGCUGACAAAGGAUUCAAAGAGGUUGAAAAAUUGAAAGUUGCAAAGCGUAUAUCUUCUUUCGUUGGUUAUGACGUGUCUAUUACGCAAGUGCACAAUCAUAUUCACAAGUGGAGGAAUAGGUGGACAAGGCUUGUCUAUUUGAAGGGUUUAAGUGGGGCACUUUGGGAUGAUGAUAAGAAGAUGGUAGUGCUAGAAGAACAACACUAUUUGGGCCACACUCAGGAUCAUCCAACAGAUGCUGAAUUGCUCAAUUAUCCACUGGAGAACUACGACUAUGUGGAACUUUGCUUUGCUAAUAAGCAUGCCACUGGGAAAUAUGCAAUGGGCCCCGGUGUGCCCCUAGGAACGCCUAAUGUUGUGGAAGACAAGGAUAAACCGAAUGUCAUGGAGGGGGAAGGAACAACGGAUGAGGUAUUGCAACACCUUCCUGGGUCUAACUUUGUACUUCCUACUGCUAGUGCCACUCAGGACCCUUCUCCUACUUCAAAUAAGAAGAGAAAGAGGGCAUCUGGCUUGACUGAGGAGGACUCAAUCCAGUGUAGCAACAUGACUGAUGCUAUGCGUGAGAUUGCAAGUGCUAUCAACAACACUUGCCAUGCUGACACACACCCUGACUUGUACAAUGUUGUCAUGGACCUUCUUGUGUUUGAUCAAGAUGAACGCUUGGCUGUUUUAGAUUAUCUCACAGAACAUAAGGCUUGA